rnacentral:rRNA from 1 species
GACGGAGGGGGGAGAGACUCUUGGCGUCAGAAUUCGACGUGGUAGAAAAUAAUAUAAAAUAACGAAUGCAUAAUAUAUACCGUAUUGCAAGACCGUUAUACUCCGCACUCGGCGAGGCCACAUGAUGCGGCCGACGACCGUUAGGCUAUCUCUUUUCUUUCUUUAGAUUUUUUAUUGUGACGACUACUCCACCACGUUUCGUAGUAACCGAAAGAAAAUCUGGUUAAUAAUCCCGAACCCGGACACGGUGAUCGGUUCUUCGGGGCCCAGUGCGGUAAAGCAAACCAACUCGGAGACGCCGAUGCGAGCCCAGGGAAGAGUUUUCUCUGUAAGGAGAUCGAGUCCCUGGAAUGGGUUCGCCCCGAGAUAGGGAUGAUGGCUCCGUAGAGAAGUGCGGCUCUUGCGCUGUACGGUGCGCUCGCGUCGGCCCGUGAAAAUCCAAGUGAGUGAGUGUGAUUUUCGUACCGGACCGUACCCACAUCCUCAGCAGGUCUCCAAGGUGAACAGCCUAUAGUC